rnacentral:rRNA from 1 species
GGUUCGAUUCUGGCUCAGAUUGAACGCUGGCGGGAUGUUUUACACAUGCAAGUCGAACGGCAGCAUGACUUCGGUCUGGUGGCGAGUGGCGAACGGGUGAGUAAUGUAUCGGAACGCUCGGUAGCGGGGAUAACUACGCGAAAGGGUAGCUGGUCAUCAGUAUACGCCCCCUUCGGGGGAAAGCGGGGACCUUCGGGCCUCGCACUAUUAGAGCGGCCGAUAUCGAUUAGCUUGGGGUUGGUGGGGUAACGGCUCACCAAGGCGACGAUCCGUAGCUGGUUUGAGAGGACGACCAGCCACACUGGGACUGAGACGGCCCAGACUCCUACGGGAGGCAGCAGUGGGGAAUUUUGGACAAUGGGGAAAUCCUGAUCCAGCCAUCCCGCGUGUGCGAUGAAGGCCUUCGGGUUGUAAAGCACUUUGGCAGGAAAGAAACGGCACGGGAUAAUACCCGUGCAACUGACGGUACCUGCAGAAUAAGCACCGGCUAACUACGUGCCAGCAGCCGCGGUAAUACGUAGGGUGCAAGCGUUAAUCGGAAUUACUGGGCGUAAAGCGUGCGCAGGCGGUUCGGAAAGAAAGAUGAAAUCCCAGAGCUUAACUUUGGAACUGCAUUUUUAACUACCGAGCUAGAGUGUGUCAGAGGGAGGUGGAAUUCCGCGUGUAGCAGUGAAAUGCGUAGAUAUGCGGAGGAACACCGAUGGCGAAGGCAGCCUCCUGGGAUAACACCGACGCUCAUGCACGAAAGCGUGGGGAGCAAACAGGAUUAGAUAGCCCUUGGUAGCCUGCUUUCAAAUGAUAACAACUACGUCAGGCCUUUCGGCCGGUGGCGCAUGCGCAAGUUGCUGCCUGGGAGCACAACGUAACAAACCAAAGGAAUUAUUUAAUCUAUACAAGCGUAGUGGAUGAUGGAUUACCUGAUGCAACAUGAAACUGGCCACCUUUGACAUGUUCUGAAUCCGAAGAGUUUGGGGAGUGCUUCGCGUAAAGAGAACCGGAACUGCAGCGCUGGCAAUAGCUGUCGUCAGUCAGGCCGCGUGAGAUGUUAGUUGAAGUCUGCAACGAAUGUAGCAACCCGCUGUGUUACGAGGCACCUAUCGAGACUGCCGAAGACAACCGAGAAGGUGGUAUUACUUACGUCUCAUGCUCGGUGGUGGGGCUUUCACAACGCGUACAAUAAAUGUGUCGUGGCUGAGGUCGCAACCGCCGGAGCCAAUCCGGUGUUCGAUCGUGUCCGAUCGCAGUCUGCAUCCGACUGCGUAAAGUCGAAUCGCCAUAAUCGCGGAUCAGCAUGUCGCGGUGAAUACGUUCCGGGUCUUGUACACACCGCUCGUCACACCAUGGGAGUGGGUUUUACCAGAAGUAGUUAGCCUAACCGUAAGGAGGGCGAUUACCACGGUAGGAUUCAUGACUGGGGUGAAGUCGUACUGAAGGU